UACGUAGGGGGCAAGCGUUGUCCGGAAUCAUUGGGCGUAAAGAGCGCGUAGGCGGUCCGGUAAGUCCGCUCUGAAAGUCCGGGGCUCAACCCUGGAAUGCCGGUGGAUACUGUCGGGCUAGAGUCCGGAAGGGGCGAGUGGAAUUCCUGGUGUAGCGGUGAAAUGCGCAGAUAUCAGGAGGAACACCAAUGGCGAAGGCAGCUCGCUGGGACGUGACUGACGCUGAGACGCGAAAGCGUGGGGAGCAAACAGG
rnacentral:rRNA from 1 species